rnacentral:rRNA from 1 species
UACGAAGGGGGCUAGCGUUGUUCGGAAUCACUGGGCGUAAAGCGCACGUAGGCGGAUCUUUAAGUCAGGGGUGAAAUCCCGAGGCUCAACCUCGGAACUGCCUUUGAUACUGGGGAUCUCGAGUCCGGGAGAGGUGAGUGGAACUGCGAGUGUAGAGGUGAAAUUCGUAGAUAUUCGCAAGAACACCCGUGGCGCAAGCGACCACCUGGCCGAGACCUGACGCUGAGGCACGAGAGCGUGGGGAGCGAACCGG